rnacentral:rRNA from 1 species
GACGAACGCUGGCGGUGUGCUUAACACAUGCAAGUGGUGCGACGAACCAGAGCUUGCUCUGGGGCAAAGCCGCGAACGGGUGAGUAACACGUGGGUAAUCUACCCCGAUGACCGGGACAACCCGAGGAAACUCGGGCUAAUACCGGAUGUGGUGCGGAGACAUGAGUCUCUUCACUAAAGGUAGCUUCGGCUUCCGCAUUGGGAGGGGCCCGCGGCCCAUUAGCUUGUUGGUGGGGUCAAGGCCUACCAAGGCAACGAUGGGUAGCUGGUCUGAGAGGACGAUCAGCCACACUGGGACUGAGACACGGCCCAGACUCCUACGGGAGGCAGCAGUGGGGAAUCUUGCGCAAUGCGCGAAAGCGUGACGCAGCAACACCGCGUGAGGGAAGAAGGCCUUAGGGUUGUAAACCUCUUUCAGAUGGGACGAAGGUUCUCCGGUGAAUAGCCGAGAGGAUUGACGGUACCGUCAGAAGAAGCUCCGGCUAACUACGUG